rnacentral:lncRNA from 1 species
UGAAAUCUUGAAGGAAAAAUAAUUCAUGUUGUGCAAGGAAAGAAAUCAGAAAAUCUGUCAGAAAUAGUCAGUCAACUUCGACAGAAGAUUGUGAUUAGCUCACAACCAUCUAGGAGAUGUGCCAUAUAUCAAUGGAAAGCUACAAGAGUCUACUUUCCAAAACUUUUUACGGAUCGUCAAUAACUAUUUUGGAGAAGAAGUUAUGACCGUUUGAGUGGCCGAAGGUCAGUCUGCCCGAAUUUCUGAUUUGGACCAAAACUUCUAGUUUGAGGCCCAGGCCACAUUGGUAAGCCCAUGGAUGAGUUUUGAGGGUUUUAUAACCCUAAUCACAGCAGAAAAGAAAGGAGGAGAGAGAGGACGGGAAGAUUAGAGAGGAGGCCAGCGAUCUCACAUCAUCAGAACCUCCAUAGUUGCGGACUCGCACAAGGAAACCGCCAAGCCAUCAUUGAUCUCUCCAUCAUCCACGGUUUAUCUUUCCUUUGUCAUCUUUCAUUCUCCUUGUGUGUCUUUGCAGCCAUGUGUGGCUGAAUUCUCUUAGUUAGGGGCAAGGUUUGAAGCCUCAAGAAUGUUUUAGAUAUUGUUUAGAACCUUGGUUUCGAAUUAUUAAGUCUUUCAAAUUGUUUAUUUGGUUUUGGUUUAUGGAGAACUUUUGCUUGUUUAUGUUCAUGUAUGCGCAACAUAGAACAUUAUGAACUUGUGAGUGGGGCUAGAAUUAGGUUGUUUAAUCUCCUAAACGGUUAAUACGGCUUAGUUCAAAGUAGUAAAACCUAUAGGACAAUAGGUGAAACCAAAUAAAAAUGAUUGCAUGCUAGGUAAGCGUUCCACACUAGUUUUGCAUACUUGUUCAAUCACUUUCAUUGAUCUUUAUGCUUAGAAUAAUUUGUUGAUAGGAUAGCGUCUAUACCUUGAUCAGUUAUUCUAAAGGCUUAGUAAUGGUGCGUUCAUCUUGCUUAAGUAUUCAAGGGAAGUAAUAAGGACUUACGCGGUGCGUUCACGGUUUGUUCUUGAUUGAUACCGAUUUGUGACUUAAUAAUUGAAGCUUUGGUUGUUAACUUAUCUUGAAACAUACUUGGUGGUGGAUUUCCAAGUCUUUAACGUCUCAUCCAUCUGAUCUUUUCUGUUUUAUUUUGUUUCUUUGUUUUCUCUUGUUUAUAAUCAUAUAACCCCAUAUCUCUAGUACUAUAAUAUUUUUUUUUCUCUUGUUUUGUAAUUAACGUAAUUGUAAAGGUACCCUCAAUCCCCGGCUUUUAUAACGAUACCCUUAUUUGCUAUAUACUACAAUUGACACAAAAAGGUUUUAAUUGAAACGCCCGGUUUCGGUCGCUAUCAUGCCUGCCGUCGAUCCAAGGUCUCCCAACACAAUCCUCCUCACGUCCUGAAUAAUAAAUAAUAUUAAGUCUCCAGACUAGAUUAAAGCUUAAAUAAAUAUUUCCGAAAUAAAAAAGGAAGCCUAUAGUUUUAUCUCCCUUGCCCAACUUCUCCACUUUUAAUCUAAUAAGGCUCACAUUACUCCACACUUACCAAUAGCCAUAAAUUAACCUUUUAGAAUUUAAAACCUGCUAAACCAACUGCCGAAAUCCUACUCUAAUAACCGUCACAAUUCUUAACCAUUGAAAAAUCCCAAAUCUUAUCAAAACUCCUCCAAAAAUUCCAAACUUUACUUCAUUAAACUCCUCUCAUUAAAACCAUCUCAAAAACAUGAAAAAAUUGUCCUUAAGGGGCGGCGGCCGGCAGCUGUACUCCGGCAACCUCCAAUGCUUCCCAAAUUUUAACACAACACUACCCUCAACCUACACAACAACUUCCUUAACUAGCACAAGAUCUAUUUCUAAGCCUAACUAGGUUAAUCGAACCAAAACCUUAAAUUGAACCAUAGGACUUCAAUUAUACAUUUCUCCCUACCAAGAUCGAAUUGAGCCAAUUCCUUUUGAGGGAUUACUAACCUUGAUGAGAGCUUCAAGAUGAGCCACAAAUCCCGAGCUAUGGUGGCCGGAGGAGGGAACUCCGGUGAAGGGUUGUCCGGCGUCUCAGGCGGGAUUUCUCUUGACCGGUGGCAUCACACGCUCGGUCACCGGCCCAAGAAGAGAGAGGGGGCGACGGGGGUCCAAACGGAGCUGGUCCGGCGGUCUAUGGUGGCCGGACGGCGGUGAAUGGAGGCUGGGUCUCCGGCGGGUCGGGAGGCUUCAGGAGAGAGAGAGAGAGAGAGAGAGAGAGAGAGAGAGAGAGAGAGAGAGAGAGAGAGAGAGAGAGAGAGAGAGAGUAGAGUAGGUAGGUAGGUAGGUAGGUAGGUNNNNNNNNNNNNNNNNNNNNCUUAAUACCCCAACAAAAUAAACCCACUUAAAUUUUUUACCCCCUUUUUACUAACUCAAAAUUUACCCUUUUUAUCUGAUAAUUUUUUCGUGCUAACUCCGAUUUUUGCGUAUAACAUGUCUAUGAACUCAUAUUAACGUCCUAUACAACUUCCUUAAAGAAAGUUUUCCAAAAUAACUUGCCUACAAAAAGUCAAUUAUAAGGUCUUUAACAGUAAACGGUUACUUAACACGGUAAAAGACCAAGAUAAAACCAAAAAUAAAUAACCGUAAAAUAACUUAAGAACCGGGGUUUGACAAGUACCCUUUAAGCAGUGGCGGAGCCAAGAUUUACACUUAGAGGGGGUUCAAGUUUGACGAUAGACGACUCGAUUUGGAUUUAAUUAUUUUAUUUAAAUAUAAUUUUAAAUUAUUUUCGUUAACUAUAUGCUAAAUGUAGCAGUAUUUAUACAUCAUCUAUCAUCAAAAAAUUUAUAAAUUUUUAUUUAGUUUCAAUAAAGACAAUAAAACGUCACUCAUAAAAAAAAUUAAGUAAAAAGCGUUGAUGGCAAUAAUUUAGACGUUUAAACCUGAAAAUCUUGUAGAACCAUAUUUAUACAUUGGCGGAGCCAGUUCAGGACUAGUGAGGGCCCGUGCCCCCAUUAGAUUUCAACAUAUAGCUGUGUUUUGAUCUGAUGUGCCCCCAUUCCCUCACUAGAAAUCUUACAAUUGUAUUGGUUUAAUAUAUAAAAAUUUCAUAAAGCCCCACAAUUCCCACAAAACAAGAGAAAAAGGAAGCUAUGCACUCUUGAAUAUAUAAUUGAAAAGUUUAAAAUAUGAAAAUCAAGUCGUUUGCUGCGUUAAUGUCAAAAAAAAAGAAGGAGAAAUUACUGGUCACUCCAUUAACUUUCAUGCGCUCGACAGUUUACUCCAUUAACUUUCAAUUUCAAUCGAUCACUCCUCAAACUAUCCAAUGUCACACAAUUAGGUCCAUCCGUUAAGUGGCCGUCCAAAUCAGUGGUUAAGUCGCUGACUGGACAUAUUUUUUAACUGGAAAUUCUAUUUAAUACCCACCUCUCUCUCUCUCNCUCNCUCUNNNCNNCUCNNNNNNNUNUNUNNUNUNUNUCUCUCUCUCUNUCUACUACUACUCUCUACUACUACUAUACUACUACUACUACUACGUACGUACUACUACUACGUACUACUAUAUACUACUAGUACUACGUACUACUACUAUACGUACGUACGUACGUACUACGUACGUACGUAACUACGUACGUAACUUACGUUAACUUAAGUUACGUUAAGUUAGUACUACGUUACUAAGUACGUUACGUUACGUAGUAUAUUAUUAUAUAUAUUAUUACUACUACCUCUCUCUCUCUCUCUCUCUCUCUCUCUCUCUCUCAAAGUAGGCAUAUUUCAUGAAGCCAACUUCAGAUGAAUCAAAUAAACUCCUGUGAACCACUUACUGGUUGUUUUAUGACAGAACAUUAAUGUAUGAUGUCGUGGCAACAGAAUUGAAACAACUCCUUCAUGAGAAACUUCCAAGAGCCCAGAAACCAACUCCACAAAAAGCUUUAUGAAAAGCUGAUGAUUUUUGUUGCCCAGGAUGCCAACUAUAUGCACGAUUUACGCCAUGCUCUGAUG